rnacentral:rRNA from 1 species
AUUGAACGCUGGCGGCAGGCCUAACACAUGCAAGUCGAGCGGAGCGGCGGACGGGUGAGUAAUGCCUAGGAAUCUGCCUGGUAGUGGGGGAUAACGUCCGGAAACGGACGCUAUUACAGCAUACUAUCAGAUGAGCCUAGGUCGGAUUAGCUAGAUGGUGGGGUAAAGGCUUAGCAAGGCGACGAUCCGUAACUGGUCUGAGAGGAUGAUCAGUCACACUGGAACUGAGACACGGUCCAGACUCCUACGUGAGGCAGGAGUGGGGAAUAUUGGACAAUGGGCGAAAGCCUGAUCCAGCCAUGCCGCGUGUGUGAAGAAGGGCUUCGGAUUGUAAAGCACUUUAAGUUGGGAGGCGUUACCAACAGAAUAAGCACCGGCUAACUCCGUGCCAGCAGCCGCGGUAAUAC